CUCAUCAUGAUGCAGCGGGACACAGAGAUGCAGUGAUUUUACCCAGCGUCCCAGCAUACGACUCGGUCAGCAUCUUCACAGCCGGUCCUGCCAAUGACACCGACAGCAUCCAGACGGCUCAUCUGGCCUACGAAACAGACAGCAACCGCACAAUAAACCCAGCGUUCGACACGGACAGCACACACACACUCCAUCAGCCCUACACAGCGCACAUGGAAGGAGUCCCGGGGCCUGCUGGAGGUGACGGUCCGGCUGGCAGCAUCUCUCUGAAUCCUCCUCCUUACAGCCCGCCGGACCCAAAAACAGCUUACCUCAUGUUCCCCGCACCGCUACAGCAUUACUCAAACCAACCGGUUAUCGCCUGCCAACCCGCCAAUCCACCCGCUUUCUACCCGCCCUCAUUCCUGCCACCGUCCACCUACCCAUCAUACACCAUAUAUAUGAACGGGCCGCCACCACCGCCGCUGGGAGAAGAGCAGCAGCCGUUACCUAAAGAUUACCUGGUGGAGUCUCUGCUGGUCACCAUCUUCUGCUGCAUCAUGAGCGGACUCUUCGCCGUCAUGUACUCGUAUGAAACCCGUGCGGCGCUGAGCAGAGGCGAUAUCCGAGAAGCAGAGAAAACGUCCCAGAAGGCCCGGCUGCUCGUCAUGUUCAGUCUGAUGUUCGGCGUCUUCAUCUUUGUGGGCUGGAUUGUUUAUGUG
ensembl:processed_transcript